rnacentral:rRNA from 1 species
UGCGUAGGCGGCGUGGCAAGUUGGGUGUGAAAUCCCUCGGCUCAACCGAGGAACUGCGCUCAAUACUGCCAUGCUCGAGGGAGACAGAGGUGAGCGGAACUUAGGGUGGAGCGGUGAAAUGCGUUGAUAUCCUAAGGAACACCGGUAGCGAAAGCGGCUCACUGGGUCUUUUCUGACGCUGAGGCACGAAAGCUAGGUAGCAACG